rnacentral:RNase_P_RNA from 1 species
UCAGACGGCCGGGCGGUCGCUCUCUUGGCUUCGCCAAGGGGGAGGAAAGUCCGGGCUCCACGGCGAAAAGGCGGCGGGUAACGCCCGCCGGGGGCGACCCCAGGGAUAGCGCCACAGAAAGCAAACCGCCCUGCGCGUCCGCGCGGAGGGUAAGGGUGAAAGGGUGGGGUAAGAGCCCACCGCGGACCCGGCGACGGGGACGGCACGGCAAGCCCCGCUUGGAGCAAGACCGAAUAGGGACGACGCGCCGGCGCCUUCGGGCUCCGGCAGGGCCUCGCCGGCCCGAGCCGUCCGGGUAGGUCGCGAGAACCGGCCAGCAAUGGCCGGUCCAGAGGAAUGGCCGCCGCGUCCGCCGCAAGGCGGGCGGCACAGAACCCGGCUUACAGGCCGUCUGAUCCC